rnacentral:rRNA from 1 species
GACGAACGCUGGCGGCGUGCUUAACACAUGCAAGUCGAACGGAAAGGCCCUGCUUUUGUGGGGUGCUCGAGUGGCGAACGGGUGAGUAACACGUGAGUAACCUGCCCUUGACUUUGGGAUAACUUCAGGAAACUGGGGCUAAUACCGGAUAGGAGCUCCUGCUGCAUGGUGGGGGUUGGAAAGUUUCGGCGGUUGGGGAUGGACUCGCGGCUUAUCAGCUUGUUGGUGGGGUAGUGGCGUACCAAGGGUUUGACGGGUAGCCGGCCUGAGAGGGUGACCGGCCACAUUGGGACUGAGAUACGGCCCAGACUCCUACGGGAGGCAGCAGUGGGGAAUAUUGCACAAUGGGCGGGAGCCUGAUGCAGCAACGCCGCGUGCGGGAUGACGGCCUUCGGGUUGUAAACCGCUUUCGCCUGUGACGAAGCGUGAGUGACGGUAAUGGGUAAAGAAGCACCGGCUAACUACGUG